AUUGAACGCUGGCGGCAGGCCUAACACAUGCAAGUCGAGCGAGCGGCGGACGGGUGAGUAAUGUCUGGGAAACUGCCUGAUGGAGGGGGAUAACUACUGGAAACGGUAGCUAAUCACGCAUACCAUCAGAUGUGCCCAGAUGGGAUUAGCUAGUAGGUGGGGUAACGGCUCACCUAGGCGACGAUCCCUAGCUGUUCUGAGAGGAUUACCAGCAACACUGGAACGGAGACACGUGCCAGACUCCUACGGGAGGCAGCAGUGUGGAAUAUUGCACAAUGGGCACAAGCCUAGUACAGCCAUGCCUCGUGUGUGAAUAAGGCUUUCGGUUUGUAAAGCACUUUCAGCGGGGAGGCGUUACCCGCAGAAGAAGCACCGGCUAACUCCGUGCCAACAGCCGCGGUAAUAC
rnacentral:rRNA from 1 species